rnacentral:tRNA from 1 species
UGGGGGGGAGCUCAGUGGUAGAGCACCUGCCUUGCAUGCAUGAGACACUGGGUUCGAUUCUCAGCACCACAU